UGACCCAUGGUGUAAUUGGCAACACAGCAGAUUUUGGUUCUGUCGUUUCAAGUUCGAGUCUUGAUGGGUCAA
rnacentral:tRNA from 1 species